rnacentral:rRNA from 1 species
UACGUAGGGUGCGAGCGUUAAUCGGAAUUACUGGGCGUAAAGCGUGCACAGGCGGUGAUGUAAGACAGGUGUGAAAUCCCCGGGCUUAACCUGGGAACUGCAUUUGUGACUGCAUCGCUGGAGUGUGGCAGAGGGAGGUAGAAUUCCACGUGUAGCAGUGAAAUGCGUAGAGAUGUGGAGGAAUACCGAUGGCGAAGGCAGCCUCCUGGGCCAACACUGACGCUCAUGCACGAAAGCGUGGGGAGCAAACAGG